rnacentral:rRNA from 1 species
GGACGAACGCUGGCGGCGUGCCUAAUCCAUGCAAGUAGAACGCUGAAGAGAGGAGCUUGCUCUUCUUGGAUGCGUUGCGAACGGGUGAGUAACGCGUAGGUAACCUGCCUGGUAGCGGGGGAUAACUAUUGGAAACGAUAGCUAAUACCGCAUAAAAUGGAUUAUCGCAUGAUAAUCCAUUGAAAGGUGCAAAUGCAUCACUACCAGAUGGACCUGCGUUGUAUUAGCUAGUUGGUGGGGUAACGGCUCACCAAGGCGACGAUACAUAGCCGACCUGAGAGGGUGAUCGGCCACACUGGGACUGAGACACGGCCCAGACUCCUACGGGAGGCAGCAGUAGGGAAUCUUCGGCAAUGGACGGAAGUCUGACCGAGCAACGCCGCGUGAGUGAAGAAGGUUUUCGGAUCGUAAAGCUCUGUUGUAAGAGAAGAACGAGUGUGAGAGUGGAAAGUUCACACUGUGACGGUAUCUUACCAGAAAGGGACGGCUAACUACGUG